GUUAGGCAUUAACUCUGAAUGGUUAAGGUUAGGCAUUAACUCUGAAUGGUUAAGGUUAGGCAUUAACUCUGAAUGGUUAAGGUUAGGGGUUAAGGUUAGGCAUUAACUCUGAAUGGUUAAGGUAAGGGGUUAAGGUAAGGGGUUAAGGUUAGGCAUUAACUCUGAAUGGUUAAGGUAAGGGGUUAAGGUUAGGGGUUAACUCUGAAGGGUUAAGGUAAGGGGUUAAGGUAAGGGGUUAAGGUAAGGGGUUAAGGUAAGGGGUUAAGGUUAGGCAUUAACUCUGAAUGGUUAAGGUAAGGGGUUAAGGUAAGGGGUUAAGUUAAGGGGUUAAGGUAAGGGGUUAAGUUAAGGGGUUAAGGUAAGGGGUUAAGGUAAGGGGUUAAGGUAAGGGGUUAAGUUAAGGGGUUAAGGUAAGGGGUUAAGGUAAGGGGUUAAGGUAAGGGGUUAAGGUUUGUGAUUUGGCUUAAAACAAAAACAUCCAAAACACCUUUCUAUUGCUGUGUGUGAAUAGUUGAAUCAUCUAAACCUUGAAUAAUCACAUAAAUCGGAUCACAUAAAUCGGAUCACAUAAAUCGGAUCACAUAAAUCGGAUCACAUAAAUCGGAUCACAUAAAUC
ensembl:lncRNA